UCCAUGCCGUAAACGUUGUAUACUAGAUGUGGGGGGAUUAAGCCCCCUCCGUGUCCAAGCUAACGCGAUAAGUAUACCGCCUGGGGACUACGGCCGCAAGGCUAAAACCCAAAGGAAUUGACGGGGACCCGCACAAGCGGUGGAGCAUGUGGCUUAAUUCGAGGCAACGCGAAGAACCUUACCCAGACUUGACAUCCUGUGGAUCUGUAAGAGAUUAUAGAGUGCCCUCGGGA
rnacentral:rRNA from 1 species